CGAUAGAGGUCGCGGAGAUUAAGAGUAUGCAUUGCGGUCUGUGUUUCACAGCCGCUGCAGAAAGGAUGAUCCGCCGAAGGAUUUCAGACCUGCAUCUGAUUUCCUGGGCCGCCGUAAUAAGAUGCGGCGGACUGUCACGAAAGUGGAGCGCUAUCAU
rnacentral:ncRNA from 1 species